ACAGCAAUUUCAACAAGUAUACCUCGGAUCAAAUCACCUUUUUUAACGUUGUUUACGAUUACGCCAGCGUGAUGCAUUAUUCAGCGUACGCGUUUGCAAUAAAUCCCAACCAAAAAACCAUUAUUACAAAGAAUCCACCAAAUGAUGUAAUCGGUCAAAGAAUUGGCCUUAGCGACCCAGACGUUACAAAAAUUAAAAGAAUGUACGGAUGCAGAUAGUAUAAUCGUAAUUAGCAUUUAUUGUCAAAGAUCAUGUUAGUGAAAAAAAUGACUUUGAUAAUAGCUUUCUAUAAUGUAUUAAACAAAAUCCUAAAAGUGUUUAUCGGAAAUUUAUAUGUUACGAAGAAAUAAAAAAUAUUUAGCACUAUGCAUAAAACAUAUGCUAAUUGUAAAUCAUCUCUUCUACGUUGGCAAACGUAAUUUGUAUCAAUAAGUAUUAAUCUUGAUUAAAUAAAUGUACUUGUGUUUUUCGUGUU